ensembl:rRNA 5S_rRNA 5S ribosomal RNA
UGCCAUAGCCAUGUCACCCUGCAGCUCAAGAUCGGUUACUCACUGAAGCUAAGCAGGGCUGAGCCUGGUCAGUACCUGGAUGGGAGACCACAUAUUAAAACUAAGUUGCUGUUGGAA